CAGCAGAGCAGGCAGCUGCUGCCUGGUCAGCAUUAGACUCCGAGCCUCAGAGACUCUGGCAGCUGGGAGGAACCACUGCGACAUCUCGUCUCCUUCCCACCAACACAGAACGUUCUCAUGAUAGAGGACAGUCCUUGCAUCACUCUAUGAGUUUCUGCCGUAUCAUCUGGAGGUGGCCAGUGGAAGCGGAGCAUCUGUGCCGCAGCUGGCCUUCUGCCCAAUUCUUGUCCCAUUGGAUCAGCUCCCACACAGCCUACCACCGCAUUUGUAGAAUCACAGAAUGAAGAUUACCUGAGCUGCAGGAGACCUCCGAGCUCUCAGACACCACCUGACCCAGCUCUCUCAUUUUACUGAUGGACAAACCAAGGCCU